GAUGAAGGGAGGAGCUAGGCUAAGGAGAAUGGGUUUCUAACACUUGAAUAGAGGAGCUUUUCUGCCCUGACGAAUGGGUUAGGGGUCCCCGGAGGCGUCUGCUCCUUGACUUUCAGCCAUCUUCCCACUCCUCAUCUGUCUCAGGAACCUGUUUUCGGUUCUCUGUCCUGGAAGACUGCUCAUGCUCACUAAUGUAACAUUGCCACCAUGAAGCCUCAGUAUCAUCAGCAGGCGUGUCCAUGGCCCAGGAGGCAAACCCAGACCUUCACCAACACUCCAGCACGACGCUUAUGCAGUCGUGUCUAGGGCUGUCCGCAGGGGUGUCAUUGAAGUCCUUCAAUAUGAGGCUGAAAACAACUGUAACGAUAACAAAUCUAACAAAUGACACAGGUUAUUGAAAACACCCAACAUUCCAAUGGCGCUUUGGGCAGCAGUACCAGUGAGGUUGGAGACUUGAGAACUGAUUGGAAAUCGUUCCCCUCUGACGAGGAUCACAUUAAGCGUUAUAGAUGGUAAGCAGCAGCAGGAUAGGAACAUUUGACUUUUGGAAUGUACAUUUUGCAUCAACCUCGCCUGUGACAGCGGCCACCUCAGAUAAAAGGCUUUACUGUAUCAUUAAAAUAGUGCCAUCUAGUGGUGGAUAUUUCAAACUGUAGCUAGGUGUCCUAAGGGUUGUCACAAACCCUCAAGGGGUCUGUGCCCAUGUAUAUGUGAUAUGUAUGUGUAUAUAUAAUUAUAAUUUAUAAUCUAUAAAGGUAUAUUUACUUAUGUAUCUAUUCCAUCACCAAAUUUAUUUGCCAAUUAUUCCAGAAUGGGCCUCUUGAUGGGGGUUGUAUUCAAGGAGUAAGGAAGGCUGCUCUGAUCUCCAGGGGGUUAUAGUCUAGAUCUUUGUAAUCCAGAGUUAAUGGCUCUGACACAAGAACGUGGGGGCAUCCAGGAGACUCCAGUGUCCAAAGCUUUAGUGGCAUUGUUGGAAGUCCUACCUACAUAUAAAGACGCAUCAUGCUUGGAAGCAUGGAAGUCAGGAAGAGGCCACCGAGAUGUGCCAUCUACUUGAGCUAGCACAGGAUUCCUGAACUUCUAAGGUCUCCUUUGGGGUUUCUGAAUGUCUCUGGCCCUGGGUCUAAGUCAGGAACCAGCAUGAGCUUGAGGUUCACUCUAGAGUUCUCUUUCUUUAGUGGAGUUGCCCGCUGGCCCUUCUAGGAUGCAGCUAGCCGAACAUGAUGGUGCGUUGAAAGCCUUGAAUGUUUCUCAGAAAAACAAUACAUUUUAUGUUCCUU
ensembl:lincRNA 4930432H08Rik RIKEN cDNA 4930432H08 gene